CACACUUGUAACUUGUCAUGUCCCCCCGCUGGGGACCUUGGGUUAAGGUGUUCACAAUUCUUGGUAAGAGCCAACAGUCACACUGCCUAGCAGUGACACAUUAACCCACUGUUUGUGAAUCGGUCCCAGACAAGUUAUUCAAUCUCCUGGCAGAAGUCCAGAUCUCUGAGUCCAGAACACGAAGACUGAAAAGAAAAUCAGAUGUUGGGUCCAGGCCAAACUUGGCCUCCAACUCAUUGUGUAACCUUGGGCAAGUCAUUCUGCUGCACUGGGCUUCAUUUUCCUAUCAAAAGCAGAAAGAACUCAAACCCGAGUCAAGAUCCACGAGCUCCCUUCCAACUCUGACAUUCUAAGAAUCAGAGAUUCUGUGACUUCUCCCUGCAGAAUGCUUGGCUGCAUCACGUUCCUGUUGACCUGAUUCCAGUAAGCAUGGUGAACGGUAGGCUUUCCCUGACUGUAGAUGAUAGCAACUGUCUCUGAAAAUAACUCAUCUGGCUCAGACAGAGGGCAGAGCCACACCUGUCCCCAGUCCACACUAAUGGAACUCCUCUGAGUUUUCUGUUUGCUCAGCUUCCCCCCCCUUACCACACUAGCCUCAGGUAGAACAGCACUCCUAGUUCCCUACCUCUCCUUCUUGUGGCUCCCUGGAGUUGCAUAAUUGUCUGGGAUAAUGUAGAAGGCAGAGAAGACUUAGCAAAAGGAGCCCACCAGCCUCCCUGUAGGAGGAGACCAGGACACUGGGGACAGGGAGCAGGUGAGGAGGCUGGAGGCGAGUGAUGUGGAGCAUGGGUCUCUAUACUCUGGAAGCCCCGGACUUGGCCUUGUGGGCAGUGAGGAGACACCAAGGACACUGCAGAAAAAAGUAGGAUAUGGUCAGAACUUGUGCCUCCAUGGAGGCAGAUGGAGCAGAGAAUGAUCGGGACUGUUACGGAAGUGUGGCCAACAAUAAUGACAAAGCAGAGGGGACAGGAAAGAGAAGGAAUUUAGGAGGGGAAUUGGCAGAGUGGGUGACUGGAUGUCUAGCCACAAUCUGAAUGCAUUGCUCACUUGAUGACUGGGACAAUGCUCUUAUAGGAUGGAAGAGUAUCUGGUUUGCUGUUAUGAGGAAAAAGGACCCAAGGGAGAAGGAAGAAAAGGAUGUUAGAAACAUGUGGUAGUAACAGAACCAGGACCUCAAAUCCAGGUUUGCUGACUCUUGGCCAUGGAAGACUGCUUCCCUGAGACAGCUGGCAGGACGAGGGACAGGGAAGCUUGCCCAACUGAGUGGCUUCCACUUUCUCUCCCUGGACUCCCCCUCCCCCAUCAAAUGUUUCUUCGCUGAGCGAAAACAGCAGAAGUAAUACGGCUACAAAUCAAGAGAAGCCCUGCUUCUGAAUCUGCCUGUGUCCACCUGACCUUUCUGUGUGACUGUGGGCAAGUCGUCUUCCCACCCAGAGAGCAGUUUUGAUAUCUGCACAACCGGGAGGUUGGCCCGCUCAAGGGCAGCAUGCUUCUGGCAUUCCUACUGGAGUUUCCCCUUGCCAUGUCCGCAGCAGACACUACCGGUCACAGGCUCUGGUUAUUCCGCGCCUGUGUGCAGCUUCAGAAACCUUUUCAACACUACUGAUGGACCAGAAAUGGCCAAUGAGAUGAGACUGAUUCAUGAGUGUACUAAGCGAUCUAAACUUAAAAGUACCACCCACGUUUCCACCUCUGAUUUCCCAUGGCUCCAAGGAUCUGAUCUGAGAACCCAAGGAAGACCCUGGACUGAUGGUGAAGACUCGUAAAGAAGGCUAUCUCUCACCUCUGACCUCUCAGCGGGGCUAUACAUUCUCUUGCAUGCACUCUAGAGCAAAGAUGGGGUCAGAAUAGGACACCCAGAUGCUGAAAUCUCACACUCCCAUGGGUCUAUCAGGUCUACAGCAGAGAAAGGAAGAGAUAUGGGUAGAAAUCAAAGUCUCUGGUCAGCGUUGGGAACUGAUGUCCUACCGCAACUGGUGCCACCAGGACCUUCCUCUCCCCAACCACCCCAUGUCAUAAGGGCGAUCAGGCAGUGAUGGCAACAAAGUGAACAACUCCAGCUACCCCAAGAUAAUUUAUGCCAACACAGCCACAUGCCAACGUGUGGACUCACUAUGUAGCCCGGGCUGGUCUCCAGCUCGUGGCAGUCCUCUUGCUUCAGCCUCCCCAGUACUGGGAUUACAGGUGUGCACCUGGCCAAAUGUUGUAGUGAGUUUAACACACCUAGCACAACUAUUAGUACGCAACUAUAGUAGGUACUUAAUAACCGCAGCUACUCCACUAAAGCAUCUCAAGCUUUGUUCAUGGGGACAGGAGGGACCCCCCCCCCCCCCACUGCACCCAAAUGUAUCCAUCUCAAGGCCUGCAGGCGCAGCAUGCAUGAAGUUCUCACUCAGAUACCCAAUGCCGUCAAACAUAUUCACACACACCUUGCAUCAACCCUCGGGAGGAUUCUGAGAUGCCAAGGCUGGUUACCAAGGAAAGGUGUUUAGGAGCCUCCCCUGGGGAGUAGCCGCAACUUUCCAGGGCUGUUGAGAACGGAGGCCUGCCCCACAGCAAGAGCCUCACUCACAGGACCCUACAGAGGUCAAAGAAUUUGUGGACUUUCAUGCCAUUUGCUCCCGUUCACAUGUUCACAAGCAAACACGCAUGUGCACAUGUCCCUAAAUUCCCUCUUCCUGGAAACUGUCGGGGCUUUCACUCUACCUCACUCUCUCCCCUCGCCUCCCUUGGGAGGAAAGGCUGCCACAGUCCUUGAAAUCAGCAUUCCCUGAGAUUUGUUUUCUUAGCAGGGAGCUGCAGGGGAGGAGAGAACAGGUUGGCUUAGGCUCAAACGACUGAACAGAAGGGGCUUUGAGAAGAAAAGUGACUUCUUCCCAAGUUCAUCGGAGGUCCUGCCGUGGGGACUGGAAUCCAAAGUGCCCGCCCUAUCUCUGAUCAGCCUGCUUCUCACACCACAGCCACAUGCUGGGCCUGGGUUUCCCUCCCAAGAGUCAUGAGAAAAUUCCGUGCCUCACCGAGCUAUUUUCUCCUUCUUUGGUUUAUAGGAUUCUACAUUUUGAAAAGUUCUGAUAAAUGGUGGGUUUUUUAAAAAAUGUAAAAGGAUUUAAACAAACACCAUCAUGUUUCCAUUAGAGUAAUUCUUUCACCACAUAAUUACUAACCACAAUUAAAGAUCAUAAAAGUCAUCACACAGGUCACACUUUACAAAAUGUUGAUGACCUGAUUUCAUCAAUUCUCAACUGCAUUUUCUUAAACAUCUUUGAAUUUCUUUUAAAGUAUGUGCAAUCUAAGCUUUCCUAAAAUAUACUAUACGGC
rnacentral:lncRNA from 1 species